UAACAUUUUAAAUCAAAUCGGUUCUCGUUUGGAUUCCAUUGGUCGCUUUUAACGGUGCAUGUGGGGAAAGGUUGCAUGACAACUAGGGGAAACUUUUGACAUUUUCCACCAUCACAAUUAAUAUGAUAAUGGACUGGAAAGGCAAAGCUGUCACGUCAUUUAUCAUUGUCAACUUGUGAAAAUAUAUAAAAUGCAUUACAUAACACAUGGAGAAUUAGGAAACUUGUGCUGAAAUAAUGACAUGCGGAGCAUUUUGUUGCAGCAGUUUCCUGCGUGAAGUCGGAGGUUGUGAACACGGGUGGAGGAGUGAGUGUUGUUCUGACAGGCGGCGAGGUUUUCCACCCACAUCAAACUGGGAGCCAAAAGUCUUCACCCGGAGUACCUCAUGAGUGAGCCACUUUGUACUCCGGGCUCAAAAUGGUAUACGACUCCCAAUUAUUGGGGACUAGCAAACACAGGUGUGGAAUCCCAACCUUCUCUACCACCAGUAUCCCCGCAGUGGAAUAAAGACGCUCUUGUCUCAAAGAGGCUGGCGAGGAAGGCCAGAGCCAUGCCAGGCUUUGAACUCUAGAGAGCACUCAGUCUACGUGGUGCUGGAGGCAAAAGAGACCUUUGACAGGUGUGAAGAUGAAUCAGACCACAUCAUUUAUGCAUUUCCACUUCUGAAUUAUUUAGCAGGGUGUGAUUUAUAGAAUUUCAAAACCCUGCAUUUCACCUCUGUCUAAAACAAUCAUCUGCAGCGUCAUUGACAUGAAUACGUGCACGAGUCCAAUUCAACAAGCUGUUGAAGAAAAAAUGACAGAGGUACUUUUUAUCAUGUUGCAAUCUUACAUAUUAAUCAAAGUUGAUUCAUAUAAUUCAAAAUACUUUUCUGAAUCACAUUAAAAUUUGCUCGUCAUAAGUCUAUGUAGAUCUUUUGGGUCUCUCAUGCCGAUAAAGUGUGAGCUACCCUGGUGUAAAGCAGGGAUGCAUUAUGCAAUGAUGGUUUUGUAAAGUUGCUGUAUUAUGUGUGUGAAGUGCUCAUUUAUGUCGGUAUAAAUCCAAAAUAUUUAGGAGAAAUAAAUCUCCAAAGCAGUCAGAAAAAACUGCUUUUCAAUCAGCUUGUGGUGAAGAACUGAGUGGGGAAGGUGUCUGGGGGCGACAGAGAGCAGUGUCUUCAGUAGACAAUGAGAGCUCUGUCUGGGAUUCUGAUGUUGGUGUGGAUGGAGUGGCCCCCGUUAACUUCCAGGCUUUUUGCUUUCUCUGCUUUUCUCCUCUCAUUGAAACACUUAAAUGUCCUUUUAAAGCGCAUCUUCACGCUCAAAUGUUGAACUGGUGACUAAUUGGGUCAAAUUGUAAAUCAUGAACCUUUUUAAACAACCAGACAUUUCAAGGAAGAAAACCUCUGUGUCCAUUAACUUGCUCAAAUUAACAGGACGAUUUAGACUCGGUGAAAUGGGUGCACUGAAAUGUUUCUCCACUUCAGGCUGAAAAUGACAACAGUGGUCAGCUCCUGCAGACUGACUCAGCAAGGUGGAAAGAAUUGAAAAAUGAGCUGUAGCAUCCUGACAUUAUAGUUAAAUAUAAUAAAACUUCAUUCCUUAAUUCAAAAA